AACGAACGCUGGCGGCGUGGCUAAGACAUGCAAGUCGAACGGACUGCUCAAUUUAUUGGACAGUUAGUGGCGAAAGGGUUAGUAACGGGUGGGUAACGUACCCUGUGCUUUGGGAUAGCGUCAUCCCGACUUCGGUCGGGAUUUCCGAAAGGGGCGGUAAUACCAAAUAAUAUCAUUUGUCGAUAGGCGGAUGAUCAAAGAUUUAUCGGCACAGGAGCGGCCUGCCUCCUAUCAGCUUGUUGGUGAGGUAACGGCUCACCAAGGCAGCGACGGGUAGCGGGACUGAGAGGUUGGCCCGCAACAUCGGGACUGAGACACUGCCCGGACCUCCACGGAGGGCUGCAGUAACGAAUCUUGUGCAAUGGGCGAAAGCCUGACACAGCGACGCCGCGUGUAGGAGGAAGUCCUUCGGGAUGUAAACUACUGUCAGGGGGAAGAAAGUGCGCUUCGGCGCAUUGAUCUAACCCAGAGGAAGUCACGGCUAACUUCGUGCCAGCAGCCGCGGUAAGACGAAGGUGGCAAGCGUUGUUCGGUAUUACUGGGCUUAAAGCGUGUGUAGGCGGAAAGGUAAGCGUUGCGUGAAAUCCCCCGGCUUAACCGGGGAACUGCGCAACGAACUGCUUNNNNNNGAGGCAAGUAGGGGCGCAUGGAACUCUUGGUGGAGCGGUGGAAUGCGUAGAUAUCAAGAGGAACGCCAGUGGAGAAGUCGGUGCGCUGGGCUUGUUCUGACGCUGAGACACGAAAGCGUGGGUAGCGAACGGGAUUAGAUACCCCGGUAGUCCACGCCGUAAACGAUGCCUACUAGGUCGGAGGUUCUCUGACGGAGUUCCGGCCGAAACUAAAGCGAUAAGUAGGCCGCCUGGGGAGUACGGUCGCAAGGCUAAAACUCAAAGGAAUUGACGGGGGCUCACACAAGCGGUGGAGCAUGUUGCUUAAUUCGAUGCAACGCGAAGAGCCUUAUCCUGGGCUUGACAUGCUUGGAUGCUCAUCUGGAAACAGAGUAGGCUGCCCUUCGGGGUGAAACUUGCACAGGUGCUGCAUGGCUGUCGUCAGCUCGUGUCGUGAGAUGUUGGGUUAAGUCCCGUAACGAGCGAAACCCUUGUCGUUAGUUGCCAGCGCGUCAUGGCGGGGACUCUAGCGAGACUGCCGGUGUGAAACCGGAGGAAGGUGGGGAUGACGUCAAGUCCUCAUGGCCUUUAUGCCCAGGGCUGCAAACGUGCUACAAUGGCCGGUACAAACCGACGCGAGACCGCGAGGUGGAGCAAAUCGGAAAAAACCGGCCCCAGUUCGGAUUGGAGUCUGCAACUCGACUCCAUGAAGUUGGAAUCGCUAGUAAUCGUAGAUCAGCCACGCUACGGUGAAUGUGUUCCUGAGCCUUGUACACACCGCCCGUCAAGUCAUGGAAGCUGGGAGCGCCCGAAGUCGGCUCGAUACAGAGCUGCCGAAGGUGAGUUCGGUGACUGGGACG
rnacentral:rRNA from 1 species